rnacentral:sRNA from 1 species
AUGAGAACGAGGUGUGUAACUGGUGUUGACCCAGCCCUGGGGUAUCUGGAAUGAAGAACCUGCUCCCUGUGUGACCUCAGUCUCAGAGCAUUCAAGUAUUUGGGCCUGCUCACUGUGUGGAUGCUGUCAAGUGUACCUGUUCCUGUUCUCCCUCCACCGGCUGGACAGUGCACUCUCAAACCUAUAUCUUCAGGCUGAGAAUUCCCUAGUGCUCAGCCAGACAUCCUGGAAUCUACCUAGUCACCUCUCACUGGCAAAAAAGAUCUUCAGAGAAAGAGGCAAAAGAUUUGGAGUUCGUUGUGCUGAACAAAAACUAUCCCUUUAAAAACCUAUUUGCAGCCUUGCACAACGAUGAUGGAUUUAUCGUAUAAACCCAGGAUUAGUAAACAGCUUGUACCCUGUAAAGAGCCCAACAAGUCCUUGCUCAUCGGAGUACUUAAUUGCAGUGGUUAUAUCAAAGCCACGUAAAACUUAAUCGCCAGCCACAAGCCGGCCUCUGUGCUUUAUAUAGGUGCCUCUGCCAUUGUUUUUCCACCUGCUAAAAUGAAAGAUUCUUGGAAUAUCAGAGUAUGUAAAAUGUAUUUAUGAUGCAAAUAUAGAGAUGCCCUUUCAUCUCCUCAAGCUUUGAUGUUGUGAUAUGAAGCUUCUGGUGUCCCUCCUUCCAGAUCAUCCCAAGAUGCUGUCUGGCUCCCCAGCCUUUGUGCCUAGUGUAAACAGUGAGGAGUCUGUGGUCGGGCCUCUGUGUGCAAGGCUGUCUGCAGCAUCUGCCCACUGCUGAAGACACAGAAAGACUGUCUAUAUGUCUUUCUUAAAGCUUUCCAAUAAUGAGUUGAGCAUGCAGGUCAGGGAAGCCUGCUAAGUAGGAAGUUAAACAGGGGGUUCACAAAUGGUACUACCAGAGGGUAGGUCCUCAAAGUGCUGAGAAGACGCAGGAGAAUGUACCCCAAAUAUACAUGUACGCCUCCUGCUCCCAACUUGCUCAAAAUUUGCACAUCUCAUAAUACAAUUCAGUUAAGAAGCUCACUUACAGCUUAGUUUUGGUCAAGGUCUCUCAAACUUUUAGAAAUACAGAAGCCCAGUUAUGUUCUAGACCACUUAAGGAAUGGUAAUUGAGAGCUCUCAUGUGGGCUAGGUGAGCCUAUCUGAUAGGCUCCAGGACCCUGAGCCUGUGGGGUAGACUUAGAGCUAUGGAGCUGCUAAAUUGCAGUAUACUGCAAUACUGACUGUUCAUUAAAAAUGCCCUCACUAGUAGAAGACAUCUUUCUGAGCAUAUAUGUGAAAAGUUUUAAAUCUCCUAAAAGAAUAAAUGGAAACUAUAACUAAUUUUUUUCAUUACAGAAGUUUUGAAUGAAUAAAUUUAGUUACAUAAAAGCUGCAUAAAAUACUAAAAUUUAAAUGUUGUCAACUUGAGUCUGUAAGCCCCAUGGGGGAUAAUUAAGGAGAGGUUUUAAAGGGGAAGCUUAAAUGGGAGGCCUUAAAGGAGAGGACUUAAAGUAGAGGCUUUAAAAGGGAGGCCUUAAAGGGGAGGGGCCUACAAAGCAAGCCAGAGCAUUGAGAGUGGGGAACUGAAAUGCACUAUAAAUUUACUUGUGAAACAUCUUCUCAUUCAUUUUACCCUUUCCCCCCAAUUAUCCUGUUUAAAUUAUCCUAUUUUAAGAAUGAAAAUAUUGUAGGAUACAUGAAACCAGUUACUGGUUCUGCCAUGGCAUGUGUGUGAUACUAGGUCUCAGAGAGAGAGAGGUCCUGAAUUUUCUGGAGUCAGGAAAGAAUCCAGCCACUCUUAAAUUCUCUGUUUCUCAUAGCAUUCCCCAAAUCAAGGGAGCCUUGCCUGUGGGGUACAGCACUGCCAAGAUGGGUCUUUGAGGUUCCUUUUGAGAGACGUGAUUAUAUCAUUUGGCUAUAGGUUCAUGCAAAGGACCAUCUUGUGCAUAUGUGAUCUUCUCAUUGACCAGAAUGUUUAAUUCAUCAGAACACUGUUCUCACCAGCUCCUGCAGAAUGGCAGUCUACUCUACAGCUGUUUUUGUAGCUGGAACAGUAAAGAGCCACUCGCAGUGAUGAGGGCCUAAAUCUGCUGAUUGUAGACACGAGGAAUUCACAAUAUCCCAUCAGUCACAAGGGGGACAGACAAGCUAAUUGACCCACUUAAUGAAUAGAGCUCCCCAAAGAGGGCUGUCUUUCAUGGCUUAAGUCCCAUUAAUCAACAAAUACUCAUUGGGUUCCUGCUGUGCCCUCAUGCGGAUGCUGGAGAUGCCUGGGGAGCAUGGCAUAAAUCAAGACCUGUGGCCCAGAGCAUCCUUUGAUGCUGCUGGGAAAAUGAUGGCACGUGAUGCUGCUGGAAACAUGGUCUGCUUAUGAACAUGGCUGUACUCACAGAAGAAGGUGCUAAUCGCAAAGACAGGGAAAGUAUAACACUGUGUGGAAGAAGAGGCUCACUGUUUGCACUGAGCUGGAAGUGUAAGGCACAGAACCUCGAGCAGGCUUCAGAUGCCAACAUCCAGGUCAGAAGUACAACUUGAAGAGACUUGUAAAGAACUCCCAACUCCCAAGGAAUUCAUCCAUUCUUUAGGCCUGGCCCUGCUAAGCAUGGAAUACCUGAGGACACAUCCUGCAUUUUCAGAUCAGUCUUCACUUUCCAGCUGCAUGGUCGUAAACAGUCCUUGAUGUGGUUGAACUGCUGUGGAUAUGUAUGAAUUCCCAGUAAAACUGCCAUCAGUUUGAUUGUCUCAGUUACAGUGAACAGUAAAAAUGAACCAGAUGCCGGGAGAAGCAACAAUGGAAUUGCUGAAGAAUUUGGGAGAAAUAUCCCCAAACCCAACAUUGGCAAAAUGAAGACUUCUGUUCAAUGGAGUUUUUGUUUAGUGAGCAUCCUUCAUGUGCCCAGAACUCUGAAAGUCUGGAGAAGGGUGGAAAGUCGGUGUGAGCUCAAACAGAUAGGUACUACUACCUCAGAGAUGUGUGUCCACCACUUACAGAACAUCCCCAGGUCUGUACUGCAGACAAGGCCCAAGGGUAGCUUCUUGCCUUUGCUGAGGGUAGACAGUCAUAUGGAGAGCAUCCAAGAAGAAUAUCCUGCUUGGUACUGAUUACAUAUGGGAACAGAGGGACCCAUGCCUAGGGAAAGUUGCGUUCCACAGGCUGAAGGCUCUAUUCAUUAACAGUUCCACUCACAAUUAAUUACUCAGAGUCAUGGACCUGUGUAUUGGAGAGGACACUUACUUCUGAUAUGAAUGUUAGAAGCUGGACAGCAAGUGCUAGGGUGUAUCAUGCCUGAAGGAGAGGCCCUUCUGCUUUCCUAGUCUCCCUGGUACGUUGGAGAUAAAGUCUAGCCACAAUGGAAUAUUCAUGGCUUCUUCAAGAUCAAUUGUCCUGAGUUCUCUGUGAGGAAGCAUGGAAUAAAAAUGUAAAAAAUGGAGUCAGAGAUGGCACGCUCACCACUUACCAGCAGUCUUACUGUUUGUAAAGUUUCUGAAGGGGCAUCUGGGAAAACAGGCUAGGGAGUUAGGUAGCAAUGGGGGUGGGGUGGGGUGAAGGGUGGUCUAUUUCACUGGUUGGUGUUAGAGUUGCAUGUAUGAAAGGGCUCUUCACAUGUUAACCCUAGUGUCUGUGUAAUGUACCUUUAUGUACACAGUAAAUACCAGGUCUUCCUCAUGGAGACUCAUGUCACCUCUACCUGUAUAUAGUCCCAAGGGAAGUGCAUGCAGGGAAAGCCACUUACUACUAGGCACCUAGAGGCUGCCUGAUACUCUCAGGGUAUGAUGCUACUGAUCUUUGCAGGGUGACAUGCCAUCAUGUGCAUCAGCUUCAGAUGAAGAUAUUGACAGUCCUGACUUGAUUGGCAAUGGUUCCAACAGGGUAUUUCUGAACUCACAUCCAUGUCCCAUCCCUGUUGCCAAGCAGUAGAGGGACCCUUGGGUCCCUGAAGCAUUCUCUGCACUUCUGCUCCUGCACAGCUUGACUUCUACCACCCAUUAUGGGCCUAGGCCUCCCUUCCUGGGUCCAUUCAUGAGGCCUCUCCCAGGCCAUACUCUGAAAAAUGCAUCAUAUGGUUCCAGGCAGGGCUACUCCCUUGUUCUGUGUCAUGCUUUACCACCAAGCCUAUAUUCAUAGUGGCCUGGGUGUCCCAUAUGGGAAAGGUACAAAAGUAGAACCAUUAUCUAACUGGACUCGCAGCAAUGGCAGGGAAGGCUUUAUUCUCCUCUUAAAUGGAGGUGGGGAAAGAGCCAGUGCUUAGGUAGUAAGUGGAAGGGUGUAGGGUGGCAGGGUGGGAUCUUCUUCCUGGGAUUUCCUGGGAGACCUUGGCAUGGAUUGGCCUCCUUAGAGGUCCCCACCCUAAGAUGAGCAGUAGGGCUCCUAUCUCCAUGAACUUGGCAUCUCCCUCACACAGCAAUUGAUUGGAGCUCUCUCAGUGCAGGCACCAUUGGGGACAGGAUUUGAGCUACAUUCUGGUCUUUUGAUCUGAGUAGGGCCUAUACUGGAUGCAGCAGACUGUAAGGUUUCCAAGCGUUCAGGCCCCAGGGCCAUCUUACCAUUAGGAUUUUCCCACUUGGAAUUCCAUGGCCUCUGGGAUAAAUGUCAGAGAAUAUUGCCUGGCAACAGAGCAGAUACUGAAUUACAAGACUCGGUGUGCUUAAUAAUUACCAAUGUAGUCAUACAGUUCUAGACAAAAUCGCCCCACUGUUCAAUGUAGGAUACAAAAGGAUUCAGCUCCACUUUGCUGUUCUGAGCUCUCAUUUGGGGGGGGACAAAGUAGAGCAGGAGAGGUAGGUCAGUGGAGCAAUAUUUUGGGAGUGCCAUUGGGAGCAGUUUUUCCUUGUGGCUUUUUUUCUGUCUUUGCUGGUGGAAGGCCAUCAGUGAGCUCCUUUAAGAUUGUUUAGUGGUGCCUGAGAUCAUUCAGAAACUGGAGAAAAAGCACAUAUGCAAAAGGUUUCCAUAGGAAACUGUAAAAAGAACAACUUGAAUCUAUAUAGCUCAUUAGAUACCAGUGAUUCUGAGCAAGGUGGCAUCUCGGCACGUGGAGCUGCCAUGAAAAGAUUGGAGACGGUUGUCUGCAGACUUGACAGUAGCCCAGUUAUCAAGGCAAACAGUUUGACUAUCUUAGAAGAGCAGUGAAGACUUUGGGCAGAAAACACUUUGAGUGUUUUCAUACGUGAGUGACACCAUGUAUCCAGGUUUGCUUAGGAGGAGAGCAUACUCUGGGUGGAAGGGUGAGGCUGGGGGCGAGGUGUAAACAUGCUUUAUAAGGAAUGCUCCAGGCAUGGGCUUUAUUCCCUGUUUUCCCUGGCCUGUUCCCUUAAUAACUCUUAAAGAGAGUCUCAUAAAAGAGGCUUCUUGUCCAAAGCUCUGUUAUCAUGAAACUUGCCAUUGUGAUAUUUAGAGAUGUUCUUUCUACAGUUCUAUAUGUUUAAUUAGUAGAUAUGGAAUUUAUUAAUAAUAGGAUAGGAAUAAUGACACUUGUGUCCCAUCAUGGUCAACACUUUGAGUCAGGACAAAAGACAAGUCAGCAAGGGAACAGAAGAGAAUAGUUCUCUUUGGUCUCAAGGCUCCAGCUGAAAAAGCCUCUACUGAGGUCAGGAUAGGCUGAAAGAUGAUGCAGGGAUUCCCCAGCUGGAGCUGCAGCCCCGCGAUCUGCAUUUUCUACCAGGGAAUCCUGAUGGGCCUGACACCAGCUCCAGGAUGAAUCUUUUCCCUGAUGUGCUCUGACACCUUUGCAGCUGCUGUGCCACUUCUCUGGCUGACAUCUCUCCAAGCAACAUGACAGCCCAUCCAAGCAGUGAAACAUUAUGAGAAGACUGGAUCCUCAUUGACUACUAUCCCCAUGAGGCUGAAGAUACAUUAGGCUGGCCUAGCCAUGGCCCCUAGUUAGUGGAACACUGUUGCAGAGAAAAGGCUGUAUCUCCUCUGCCUACUAGACAGACACCAUUGGAGGCAAGAAGAGACAGCUUUGGAGCCAUUGAAGCCUGGAUCUGUGCUAACAAAGACUGUGGGUGCUGUAGUCCAGAAGAGACUGGAUAAGCUGUGGACUUAUCCAGUGUAGACAGAGAUGGUACAAUCAACCAAGGAGACACGUGCCUAGAGACUCUCAGAGCUACAGGGACCACAGCAGGGUGAGUCUCUCUACUCCAUGGCUUCCAGCUACAAGAUACUAAAUGCCAGUCUGGUCUGAGACCCUGGCCUACAACUCUUGCAUGCUUCCUAAUCUGGGCAUGUCUACAGUAAAGCCAUGACACUCUCACAGAACCCUUUCUGUCAGCCACUGCUGGAGAAUCCUUGCCACAAAUAAACCAACCUGUCAGAUGUGCAGAAGUCACACUUCAAAAUUAUGGUCUGAGAUGAACACAGAGAAGUUCAUUUUUCUCCUUUGAUUGGUGAAAGGUCCAUUGGAUGCUGUCCUUUCUAGGGUUGAAGAUAGUGGCCCUAAAGGCUGUGGGUUUUUUCUUUAAGUCAGGGAGGGCUCAGGCUGCAGUGUGACUGUGACACUCUGUGGUUAUUAAGAGAAAAGGCUCUGAGCAGGUCACAUCCUGCUGUAGGGGAAGUGGACAGCAACCAACAGCUGCCUGGCAGAUGUCCUUACUACCUGUGACCUUCAUUUCCUCACCUCAGGUAAAGGGAGAUGCUACAUAAUCUUCCUCAUAAUCUUCUGCCUAUGACAGGUGUCCAUGCUGGAUGCUCUUAGGGCUUUCUGAGAUAGGGCAUCUGGCAGAAAUGUAGACAGUUCGUAUGUCUGCAUGGAGUCCGUGAAUGGAGCUCUUGCUGCAUGUUCUUGCAGACUCAAAGAUGGCCAGGGCUUCCUUGGGAAAGAACUCAUGGAGACUGCUCAUACAUCAGGACAAAUGUCAUUUCCUGAGAGAUGUGCCUAAGCCUCUGGACUUUCCAAGCGGCUUACUGGAUGGCAGAGAGUUUCCUGGCACUGAAGAGAGGUGAGGUGGGCAUUCAGAGCUCUGGUGACCAGUAGGGCUCAGGGGUUAAACUGGAUAUCUGCAACCAAGUAUAUUCAUAGCAGGCUCAGGUCAUCAUACUGCUGCCCAAGGAACUAAUCUCAGUGGCAGUGCUAUGCAGAGCCCUGGAUGGCCCAACUAUAAGGCUUAGCAAUGGCCUUUCCAGAGACAAAAGUUUGCACCCCUGCCACAGGUUGGCACAGCUGCCUAUCACACACACCUGGACCUUGGUAAUGGGAGGGCAUGAAGAAGGCUCUAAAGCUCAGAAGACAGCAGGUCAUGACUAUCCUGUGUGCAGGAAGUGGAAAGUGGGUACUGAACAUCACUACUCAUGGGAGGAGCCAGGGGACGACUGCAGUUGGUUUCCACUCUACUCUGCCUCAAUGGCACCCUUCCAUGAGUCUCUUCAGAGGUGUGAGCCAUGCCUUGUGUGAUGAAGGACUUCAUGCUGAUGCUCCUCCUUGGAAACAGUUCUAUUUGGUGAAGAGUCUCAGAAACAUGCUCCUUCAUUUACUCUGAGACUGUGACAGAGCUCACUUUUCUAUUCCUUAUUCUGGCCGUUCUACUUAGUUUAGGAACACAUAAAGCACACUAGGCUAGUGACAAGAGGAAGCCAUUCUAAAGCGUGGAUUUUAUCAAUGGUGGGAUUAUUAGUUGUUGUUUUUCUCUGGUUAGACAGAUGAAGGAGGCCUUCCCCCUUCCUGUUAAUUGCUGUGGGCAGUCAAAAACAAGCCAGCUCUGGAAGCCGUAUUCCAUGGGUCUCCAUAUCCCCUGUGAUCUGACAUGUGGAUGGCAAGAACUGGCUUAGAGAGACCGCCUAGCCACAAAAGGCUUUUCUUCUCAUGGCUGCACCAUGUCCUGAAAGGCCAGAACAGCUCCCAGGCCCAUCAAAGUGUCUGCAACUAUUUCUCCAAUUUGCUUUCUGCUUUCAAGACAUUAAAGAACACUUUCAAGUUAGGCCUCUCGCAGGACUGUGUGAAAGGAGUCCCCAAAGUGCCAUCCUCGCUAAGUUGACCGAAGGGAUUGUGUGGAAAAGCUUCAUGUUUUCCUUUUCAGCCUGAAAGGGGUUGAGGGGAUCUAGGCUGAGGAGUGAGGGGUGGGUCCCUCCCUCCCUGCUUUCAUCAUUGUGCCCUUCCCCCACCUCCCUGUUUGUGUUCCUCCCCAGUCUAGGGAGGCCCUGGGAUUUUUCUUUAGCUUUUGUUUGCCAAAGGGAGAUUCAGGGCUUAUGUAAAAACCAGCACCUAAGUCUGACAUAGUUUUCUUCAGCCCAAGGAAGAGCGCAUGGCCUCUGAGGAAGAGGUCAGCUUUCAGGCCCUGCCUUAAUUGUUGCUCUUGUAAUCCUGAGAUGUUGAAUGCUUUUUUUUUUUAUUGCAGACACAGGCUACAGAGACGAGCUUUUUUUUUUUUUUUCUUUUACAAACUAAGUGCCCCUGCUAAGCUGCUGCAUGUUUUCAUAAGACAUCACUGGGAGCAGCAGUACCUGGAGCCCUCAGUGGCUUCUGGAAAUUUGGCUUUGUCAAAACCUUUGCUCUGGUGCGAAGCUAUAGUCUUGCUGCUGGGAAUUAACUUUACAGCAGAACACCGUCAAUGCAGGUGACUCCCAGCCCCACCUCCAAAGCACUGAGCACUCUGUUGGAACCUGACAGAGCAGUGUCUGCAGAGCAGCAGGCUCCAAGGUGAGUCUUGGACAAGGUGGACAAACACAUGUCCUGAAUCUCAUUCUCCAUGGCCAGCAGACUGGCCAGCUCUGUCGUAAAGAACGGUAUUGGGCAUUGUGGUCUAGAUAGUGAAUUAUCUUGAAAAAUCUGUGGACUACUGCUGGUCGUGGGAUUGCAGCCAGGACAAACCUUCACAGAGAAGGCACCAAAAGGGCAGCUUUGGGGUGAGCUCCUUCAUUGGGCAGCAGUGUGACCUUGAGUGAAAACUGGGAAUGGUAUCUUACAGGUGUUUCACGGUAUAUGCUGGUGUCUUAUACCCAUUUGUGUGUGAUAGUUACUGAUGGUACCUGAUGUUAUCUAUUAGUAUUUCUUGGCAUCUAUUAGUGAGAGUCCUAUUCUAGCUACUUUUCUUGUUGUUCUUAUAAAAUACCUUGAAAAAGUCAAUUUAAAGAAGGAAGGGCAUUAUUUUGGCUCAUAGUCCAAAGUCUAUAAUAACAGGAAAAUCAAGGCAGCAGGAAUGUGAAUGAAGUAGCUGGUUGCAUUGUGCCUGCAGUCAGGAAGAAGAGAGCAGUGAAUAGUUAUGUUUAUUAGCUUCAGUCUGUAGUCCAGGAUGUGAGCUUAGGGAUUGCUGCUUCCCUAGUUUAGGCUGGGUCUUCCUGCUUUAAUUAACCAGGUCAAAAUAGUUUCCCAUAGACAGGCUCAGAUGCUAGCCUAGCUUCCAUACCCCUCACUGCUAUGCCAGGAAGCGAGUCUUCUAGGUGAGCUCGGGUCUGUCAAGAUAGCUAUCAGUAGCAAUCCUCACAGGGUGCAUGGAGCUGGCUGAGUCUCCCACAUGCAACCUCAUGCAUUCAGAGGAGUAGUAUCUCUACAGAGGCUGCCUGAGGUUGGUGCUUUGGCUGUCCAUGUAACCCACUAACUGAUGAAAGGGAAACAGUGUUGGCUGUUGAAUAUUUAUGUAGAUGGGUUCAUUUUGUUAACAUGAACAGCCCUGUGCUACAAAGCAGGUCUGAGUUCUAAUGCUAGCCUUAAUGCAUUUCCGAAUUUCCUUGAAUGCAAAGAAACCUAUUGCAGUUUAGCAUCUACUUUGUAAGAUGCUCUUUAUUUGCUGGAAGAAACAAAACUGCAGGAAAGCCACAGUCUAGUUAGAAAUACAAACUGCUAACAAGCAUGGACAGUUAGCAGUUGCACAACAAACACAUGGCUACAAAUCUACGUGUCUAAAUCAAAUGUGCUUCUUAUUCGAAAAGUGUGCACUGGUAAGACUAUUACUGAAAGUUCUGCUGCUAAGUCAGAAUAGUGGAUGUGGGUUCAUCUCACCAAGUACCAAGGUCCCAUCAAAACUUUGGAGCUCAUUACUCACCUCGAAUUCUUUGUCCUUCGAACCAGAGCUUACCAUUUUAAAAUUUAAAAAGUGUGUGUGUGUGUGUGUGUGUGUGUGUGUGUGAACUUAAUUUGAAAAUUCAACUUCCUUUACAUUGUGGGUAAUUACAUUUAGAUAAAAACACUCGAAAAAAACAUCUUAAGGAGGAUAGGGUUCACUUAAGCAUACCGUACAAUUCCAGGUCACAGUCCAUCACUGAAGGAAGCCAGGGCAGGAACUUGAAGCAAAAACCAUGGAGAAUGUUGCUUGCUGGCUUGUCCAUAUCCUUAUGGUUAGCUAGCUUUCUUAUAUAGCCCAGAAUCUUGUGCCUAAAUAAUGAUAUAUGGGUUAAUUUUGUUUUGUUAAUCUGACACAAGCUAGGGUCAUCUGGGAGGAGAGAACCUCACAACAUGCCUCCAUCAGACUGGCCUCUAAGGAAGGCACAGUCCACUCUAAGUGGUGGCACCCCAGGCAGGUGGUCCUGGAAGGCAUUACAAGCAGUCUGAGGAAGCUAUGCCGAGCAAGCUGGUAAACAGUGUUUCUCCAUGGCCACUGCUUUAUGUCCUGCCUCUAGGUUCCAGCUUGAGUUCCUGUCCUGCUUUUUCUCAAUGAUAGAGUGUGACCUGCUAUUUGUAAGGUGAAAUAAACCCUUCCCUCUCCAUGUUGCUUUUAGUCAUGGCAUCUAUGAUAGUAAUGGGUGUGAAACUAGAACCAAUGAUGUCAUCCAUGGUGGGCUGAUCCCUUUUGUAUCUAUUUAUAAUCAAUAUAAUACCCAACAAAUAUUUCCAUGGGCCAAUAUGAUCCUUCAUUGGAGACUUCAAUUCGUGUGUCUGUAGGAAGUAUGUGAGGUUAUUAGUUAGUGUUAGCUAGGACAGGACCUUUCCAAGGUUCUCAAAGUAUUUUGGUGUGUUCACACAGUGACCACUAAAUGUGAUAACUUGAGUCCCAACCCCUAGUUGCAUUUCUUAAAUUACAAUGAAUGUUUGCCAGCCUAGGAAUCAGAACUCUGCAGUUAUGUUCCAGAAGGUUCUUUUUAUCAGACAUGAACAAGGUAGUAGUACCCCACCUAGGGCUAAGGAAGCAAUAAUCAAGUUAGAUGACACUCAACCAGUGACAUUCAAGCACAAGGUCACACAGAAUCUCAUUUCAUCUAACUAUUACCUGAAUUUAAACAGUUAGAUGAUAGAAUCUUAGGUGUCUAAGGACCUUUGGUCUAGAUAAACAUUGAGAAAUUGUUAAGGGUAGCACUUAGGAACCUACCUUGGGGAAGUGAGGGAAACCUUUGCCAGGGUCUACUGCACAGGGACUCAGAAACAGAACUGACAUUGAGCACAUACUUUGCAAAUCUCAUAAAAUUCCAUCACUUGGAACAACUUCUGAGCCAAGUCCUGCCAUCUGAUUGCAGAUGGGAAAGCAUGUUGUCCAUGUGUAGGCAUGUGGUAGGUAAUGGAUGAAGUUGUUGGGAGUCUUCCUCUUCCUUCCUCAUGGCCUUCUCUGUGGCAUAGUCUUCCAUUUCCUCUUUGCUCACUGACCUACCACUCAUUUUCACCACGCUCAGAACAGUCUGCCUUCUACAAGCCUCCUUGGUCUUGUGAGUUGAGAGCCUAGGCUUACCCCUGUCCUAUUAGUAUCUCAGAGUGUCAUCUCGAGGACCCUCCAUAAGGUUUGCAAGGUGAAAACCACUCACAUUGCCUUCUGAUUGUGUCAGCACCUACAUUUACAGCACAAACAGUAAAGGUAGGUCACAAACUGGUCCAGGCACUGACCAGUGGGGCCAUCUAACUAUCCCCUGUGUUUAGAAUACAAAAUGGCUCCCCAAGUACUGUUUGAACACAUGGUCUUCUGUUUAGGGGCUCUGGUUGUAGAGCCUCUAGGAGGCAGGGCUUCAUCAGAGGAAGUAUGCCACUGGAGGCAGACUGGAGAUUUUACAGCACGGGCCAUAUCCUGUCCUUUUUCUGCAAUCUGAGUACGGACUUGAUGGGACCUGCCACCUCACACUUCUGCCUCCAAGUCUCCUUUGGCAUAAUGAAGUGUAUACCUAUUUAAACUUUGAGCAAAAAAAGCAACUAAAAACAAAACAAAAAAGAAAACAAACCAAAGCAAAAAAUAAAACCCUUCCUUCAACAAGUCACUUCUUGUCAGGUAUUUGGUCACAGGAAUGAGAAAAGUGAUGGAGACAUCUAAGGCCUUCAGUUCCAUAAUACUGAACAACAGACAGAACACAGUGCCAGUCACAACAACUUCCAAGGAAGCAGAGAACAAUCGUUCACGGGAGAGUGCCUAUCUCUUCAGGCUUCUUCAGCAUGAUGUGCAGGACAUGCUGGUGCAGCCCCACUGUGUGCCAAAAUGACAGGGGUCUAGGGAAAACACUGGAGGAUCAAGCAACUCCAUUUUUCCUGUGAAGGAACCAGUGAUAGAAACAAAACAAAACAAAACACAGCUCUCUGAUGUUUGGCAUCUUUUUAAUGAAUGAAUAAACCCAU